AGUGAACGCUGGCGGUAGGCCUAACACAUGCAAGUCGAACGGCAGCACAGUAAGAGCUUGCUCUUACGGGUGGCGAGUGGCGGACGGGUGAGGAAUACAUCGGAAUCUACUUUUUCGUGGGGGAUAACGUAGGGAAACUUACGCUAAUACCGCAUACGACCUACGGGUGAAAGCAGGGGAUCUUCGGACCUUGCGCGAUUGAAUGAGCCGAUGUCGGAUUAGCUAGUUGGCGGGGUAAAGGCCCACCAAGGCGACGAUCCGUAGCUGGUCUGAGAGGAUGAUCAGCCACACCGGAACUGAGACACGGUCCAGACUCCUACGGGAGGCAGCAGUGGGGAAUAUUGGACAAUGGGCACAAGCCUGAUCCAGCCAUACCGCGUGGGUGAAGAAGGCCUUCGGGUUGUAAAGCCCUUUUGUUGGGAAAGAAAAGCAGCAGGUUAAUACCCCGCUGUUCUGACGGUACCCAAAGAAUAAGCACCGGCUAACUUCGUG
rnacentral:rRNA from 1 species